GGCCUUGUGGUGUGUAACACGUUAGAUUGCAAAUCUAGAAUUGCAGACUCGAAUAUCUGCCGGGGCUU
rnacentral:tRNA from 1 species